rnacentral:rRNA from 1 species
UACGUAGGGGGGCUAGCGUUGUCCGGAAUCAUUGGGCGUAAAGCGCGCGUAGGCGGCCCGGUAAGUCCGCUGUAAAAGUCAAAGGCUCAACCUUUGAAUGUCAGUGGAUACUGCCGGGCUAGAGUCCGGAAGAGGCGAGUGGAACUCCUGGUGUAGCGGUGGAAUGCGCAGAUAUCGGGAGGAACACCUAUGGCGAAGGCAGCUCGCUGGGACGUUACUGACGCUGAGACGCGAAAGCGUGGGGAGCAAACAGG